GAAAGAUCUCCCAUGCUCAUGGAUUGGCAGGAUUAAUUUAGUAAAAAUGGCCAUUUUACCAAAAGCAAUCUACAGAUUCAAUGCAAUCCCCAUCAAAAUACCAAUCCAAUUCUUCAAAGAGUUAGACAGAACAAUUUGCAAAUUCAUCUGGAAUAACAAAAAACCCAGGAUAGCUAAAGCUAUCCUCAACAAUAAAAGGACUUCAGGGGGAAUCCCUAUCCCUGAACUCAAGCAGUAUUACAGAGCAAUAGUGAUAAAAACUGCAUGGUAUUGGUACAGAGACAGACAGAUAGACCAAUGGAAUAGAAUUGAAGACCCAGAAAUG
rnacentral:lncRNA from 1 species